GAUUCGUCACACUAUCAUUAACUGAAUCCAUAGGUUAAUGAGGCGAACCGGGGGAACUGAAACAUCUAAGUACCCCGAGGAAAAGAAAUCAACCGAGAUUCCCCCAGUAGCGGCGAGCGAACGGGGAGGAGCCCAGAGCCUGAAUCAGCAUGUGUGUUAGUGGAAGCGUCUGGAAAGGCGCGCGAUACAGGGUGACAGCCCCGUACACAAAAGCGCAUGUGCUGUGAGCUCGAUGAGUAGGGCGGGACACGUGGUAUCCUGUCUGAAUAUGGGGGGACCAUCCUCCAAGGCUAAAUACUCCUGACUGACCGAUAGUGAACCAGUACCGUGAGGGAAAGGCGAAAAGAACCCCGGCGAGGGGAGUGAAAAAGAACCUGAAACCGUGUACGUACAAGCAGUGGGAGCACAGGUUUACCUGUGUGACUGCGUACCUUUUGUAUAAUGGGUCAGCGACUUAUAUUCUGUAGCAAGGUUAACCGUAUAGGGGAGCCGUAGGGAAACCGAGUCUUAACCGGGCGUUAAGUUGCAGGGUAUAGACCCGAAACC
rnacentral:rRNA from 1 species